ACGGGUGAGUAACACGUGGGAACGUACCUUUUGGUUCGGAAUAAUCCAGGGAAACUUGGACUAAUACCGGAUACGCCCUUCGGGGGAAAGAUUUAUCGCCGAAAGAUCGGCCCGCGUCUGAUUAGCUAGUUGGUGAGGUAAAGGCUCACCAAGGCGACGAUCAGUAGCUGGUCUGAGAGGAUGAUCAGCCACAUUGGGACUGAGACACGGCCCAAACUCCUACGGGAGGCAGCAGUGGGGAAUAUUGGACAAUGGGCGCAAGCCUGAUCCAGCCAUGCCGCGUGAGUGAUGAAGGCCUUAGGGUUGUAAAGCUCUUUUGUCCGGGAAGAUAAUGACUGUACCGGAAGAAUAAGCCCCGGCUAACUUCGUGCCAGCAGCCGCGGUAAUACGAAGGGGGCUAGCGUUGCUCGGAAUCACUGGGCGUAAAGGGCGCGUAGGCGGACUUUUAAGUCGGAGGUGAAAGCCCAGGGCUCAACCCUGGAAUUGCCUUCGAUACUGGGAGUCUUGAGUUCGGAAGAGGUUGGUGGAACUGCGAGUGUAGAGGUGAAAUUCGUAGA
rnacentral:rRNA from 6 species